rnacentral:rRNA from 1 species
AUGAAUCUCUUGGCAUGGAACUGUCGAGGCUUGGGGUUGGACUCGACAGUUGGCGAAUUACGGGACCUCAUACGGUCAUACAACCCAGCGGUGGUCUUUCUUUCAGAAACCUUAAAGAAAUCUGAACCGAUGAAUAAGCUAAAAUGGAGUCUGGGGUUCAGACAAGGAGUUGCAGUUAACUGUGUUGGGCGAAGCGGGGGUCUAGCCUUGUGGUGGAGAGAUGAUGUGCAAGUUACGGUGAGACCGUGGAGCCAAUAUUUUAUUGAUGCGGAGGUGUGCUACGAAGGCAAAACAUUCCGGUUCACUGGGAUAUACGGUGAACCGCGGACGGAGCUGAGGAAGAAAACUUGGGAUGCACUGGCAUACCUGAGGAGACAGGAUAAUCUACCAUGGCUGUGCGUGGGCGAUUUCAAUGAGGCAUUAACCCAAGCAGAACAACGUGGUGGAAACGCCAGAAAUUUGAAUCAAAUGGAGGACUUCAAGGAUUUGUCUGGACAUGUGCGCACUAGCGGACAUGGGUUUCUCGGGGUACCCUUUUACGUGGGAUAA